AUUGAACGCUGGCGGCAUGCCUUACACAUGCAAGUCGAACGGUAACAGGUCUUCGGAUGCUGACGAGUGGCGAACGGGUGAGUAAUACAUCGGAACGUGCCCGAUCGUGGGGGAUAACGGAGCGAAAUCUUUGCUAAUACCGCAUACGAUCUACGGAUGAAAGCAGGGGACCGCAAGGCCUUGCGCGGACGGAGCGGCCGAUGGCAGAUUAGGUAGUUGGUGGGAUAAAAGCUUACCAAGCCGACGAUCUGUAGCUGGUCUGAGAGGACGACCAGCCACACUGGGACUGAGACACGGCCCAGACUCCUACGGGAGGCAGCAGUGGGGAAUUUUGGACAAUGGGCGAAAGCCUGAUCCAGCCAUGCCGCGUGCAGGAUGAAGGCCUUCGGGUUGUAAACUGCUUUUGUACGGAACGAAAAGACUCUUUCUAAUAAAGAGGGUCCAUGACGGUACCGUAAGAAUAAGCACCGGCUAACUACGUG
rnacentral:rRNA from 1 species